rnacentral:rRNA from 1 species
AGAGUUUGAUCCUGGCUCAGAUUGAACGCUGGCGGCAGGCCUAACACAUGCAAGUCGAGCGGUAGAGAGAAGCUUGCUUCUCUUGAGAGCGGCGGACGGGUGAGUAAUGCCUAGGAAUCUGCCUGGUAGUGGGGGAUAACGUCCGGAAACGGACGCUAAUACCGCAUACGUCCUACGGGAGAAAGCAGGGGACCUUCGGGCCUUGCGCUAUCAGAUGAGCCUAGGUCGGAUUAGCUAGUUGGUGGGGUAAUGGCUCACCAAGGCGACGAUCCGUAACUGGUCUGAGAGGAUGAUCAGUCACACUGGAACUGAGACACGGUCCAGACUCCUACGGGAGGCAGCAGUGGGGAAUAUUGGACAAUGGGCGAAAGCCUGAUCCAGCCAUGCCGCGUGUGUGAAGAAGGUCUUCGGAUUGUAAAGCACUUUAAGUUGGGAGGAAGGGCAGUAAAUUAAUACUUUGCUGUUUUGACGUUACCGACAGAAUAAGCACCGGCUAACUCUGUGCCAGCAGCCGCGGUAAUACAGAGGGUGCAAGCGUUAAUCGGAAUUACUGGGCGUAAAGCGCGCGUAGGUGGUUCGUUAAGUUGGAUGUGAAAUCCCCGGGCUCAACCUGGGAACUGCAUUCAAAACUGACGAGCUAGAGUAUGGUAGAGGGUGGUGGAAUUUCCUGUGUAGCGGUGAAAUGCGUAGAUAUAGGAAGGAACACCAGUGGCGAAGGCGACCACCUGGACUGAUACUGACACUGAGGUGCGAAAGCGUGGGGAGCAAACAGGAUUAGAUACCCCGGUAGU